GUCGAUAUGAGGCAUUUUCUCGUUUAACGGCAUAAAGGUAUCCAAAUCAAAUGAAUUUUUGUUAGAAAAUUCUUUAAACUAUUUAAAACAAGAUCUAUACUCUUGAUCUUGAUUACAAGACUCUUAUCAUCAUUUUUUAAAGAAUAUUCAUUUCAGCCAUUCAUUUUUGUGUCCACUCAAUAGAUAAGAAAACAAUAUCAGAAAUGUAUGAAAUUUGAUUUCUAAACACUUCAAGUGGCAUAGAUCAUAUUCAACGGUAUCGAU
rnacentral:lncRNA from 1 species